AUGCACACGACACGGCCAACACUCACCCAUACACAACACGGCCAACACUCACCCAUGCACACGACACGGCCAACACUCACCAUGCACACGACACGGCCAACACUCACCCAUGCACACGACACGGGCAACACUCACCCAUGCACACGACACGGCCAACACUCACCCAUGCACAACACGGCCAACACUCACCCAUACACACGACACAGCCAACACUCACCCAUGCAGCACACGACAUGGCCAACACUCACCCGUGCACAACACGGCCAACACUCACCCAUGCACACGACACGGCCAACACUCACCAUGCACACGACACGGCCAACACUCACCAUGCACACAACACGGCCAACACUCACCCAUGCGCACGACACGGCCAACACUCACCCAUACACACGACACAGCCAACACUCACCCAUGCACACGACACGGCCAACACUCACCCAUGCACACGACACGGCCAACACUCACCCAUACACACGACACAGCCAACACUCACCCAUGCACAACACGGCCAACACUCACCCAUGCACAACACGGCCAACACUCACCCAUGCACACGACACGGCCAACACUCACCAUGCACACGACACGGCCAACACUCACCCAUGCACACGACACGGCCUCCUCUGCACACUGCAGCACGUGUGUGUCCACAGCAAGCACGCGACGCCUCACGCAGGACUACGAGCCAACAUGGGACUCAACGCACCAAAGGACACCCACUGCUGCCAGGAGCGCCCCCUGCUGGCCGGGCAGACGCCCACUGCUCCCGGGAGCGCCCACUACUGGCCGGGCAGACGCCCACUGCUCCCGGGAGCGCCCACUGCUGGCCGGGCAGACGCCCACUGCUCCCGGGAGCGCCCACUGCUGGCCGGGCAGCGCGUGACUCCCCCUUCACCCCCUUGGAGGGCCCUGCUCCUGCCUCCUGACCACUCACACCCCUGCCUUUUGAAGAACCUUCUCCACUCUCCUCUCUCGGCUGCCAUCCUGCUACAGCUGUCAAUCAAAGUGGCCAGGAUCUGA
rnacentral:lncRNA from 1 species